GACAGAUGUGAAAAUUCAAAUUAAAGGGGAAAUAAAAUCCUCUUUCAGGGGUAUUUUUGGUGAUUUUCACCAUAUAAAGAUUCAAAUUAAAGGGAAAAUAAAAUUCUCUUUCAUGGCGUAUUUUUCGUGAUUUUCACUUUUUUUUUGGACAGAUAUAAAAAUUCAAAUUAAAAGGGAAAUAAAAUCUCCACGGAGAUUCCCAAAUCCGAGGCCGAAGUGAGGGCGGCUCCUAAAGCUGGAGCACAGGAUCGCCGCUGUGCCCAUGGAGAGGAGGCCGGGAUGGGAUGCUGGAAUUCCUGGAGGGAAUUCCCCGUGAUCCCGGCUCCGGGAUGGUCCCACUCGGCAGCCCCGGAGGCUCACCCGGGGCGGGGGUGCCGCAUCCCCGCGUUCCCGGCCCCUUCCCGGGACAGGGAUGGCACCGCAGGUUCCCCUAUGCCCUCGGGAAUCUCAUCCCGCCCUAUCCCGGUGGAACCCGCGGGAUGAGGGGUCUGGGCCCGCCAGGGGCACGGAGGGAGCCCGCUGGGAUCCCAUGGAAUUCCAUGGGAGGGAUCCAGGGGAGCGCGGCUUGUUUAGUCUGGAGGAGGGAGGGCCGAGACGGCGGCACAUUCCUGCCGGAGGGACGGAGCGGGGAGAGCAACCAGCAGGAGUUGGGGAAUUAUUUGAAGGGAAUUCAGGAUUUUUGGCUGAUUUGCCGUCUGUCUGCAGGAUGAGGAGCCAAAGGCUCCGGCCUCGCUCGGGACAAUCCAAGCAGACAAUCCACGGGAUUUCCUCUCCCUGGGCUCCAGCAGCUCACUGACGCUUUUUUGCAGGAGCUGCUUUUCCAGCUUCUCCCUGCUCGGGAAGGGCUGAAUUCCCUCUGGAUCUCAUCAGCUCCAGAGGGCAGAGCUCGGCUGUAAAUCCUAAAGUCCCUAAAAACCGAGCAGCUCCUUCCCUCCCGGGGCGGCGGGGCCAGCCCGGAGCCAGGAUCGCUCUCUGGAACACCCCACACACGGGCAGGCGGGAGGGGUUUGGGAAAACUGGGAAGAGCGGAUGGGUUUAUCCUGGUACAACUCCCUGGAAGCUUCCUCGGGAUCAGCCCAGCAGGAUCCCCCUUCCCAGGAUUUUCUGAGGACCCUCCUGCUGCUGGGGGUGGAUCCUGAUGGGGAUGGAGCUUGGAGAGAUCAAUCUUUAUCCAGAGGCAGCUCCCGAGCACGGACCCAUCCCUCCCUCCCUCCCUCCCUCCCAGGCAGGACCGGGCCGAGGCGGGUGAGAGGCCGUCAGGAAUUUAAUGGAACUUGGCACUGGAAACAUUUAAAUGUACAACAUUUACAGAGAACCACACGCUGUGUCUAUGUACACCUCUGCCCGUCCCCAAAGCUCCGGCCGGACAUGCCACAGGCAGUGACAACCCUCGGAUGUGGAGGCACCGCUCCCCACGCCUGGAUUUGGGAUAUGGCUGCCCAGUCCUGGAUUUGGGGUGACAGGGACUGCAGGAUCCCACUCCCAAUCCCAGAUUUUGGGUGACAGGGACUGCAGGAUCCCUCUCCCCAAUCCUGGAUGAUUCCAGGUCACAGGGACUGUAGGAUCCCACUGCCCAAUCCCAGAUUUUGGGUGACAGUGAUUGCAGGAUCCCACUGCCAAUUAAUGGAUUUUGGGUGACAGGGACUGCAGGAUCCCACUCCCAAUCCCAAUUUCAGGUGAUAGGGACUGCAGGAUCCCACUGCCCAAUCCUGGAUGAUUUCAGGUCACAGGGACUGCAGGAUCCCACUCCCCAGUCCCAGAUUUCAGGUGACAGGGAUUGCAGGAUCACUCCCAAUCCCAGAUUUCAGGUGACAGGGAUUGCAGGAUCACUCCCAAUCCCAGAUUUCAGGUCACAGGGACUGCAGGAUCACUCCCCAUCCCAGAUUUCAAGUCACAGGGACUGCAGGAUCACUCCCAAUCCCAGAUUUCAGGUGACAGGACUGCAGGAUCCCUCUCCCCAGUCCCAGAUUUCAGGGACACCCGCUGUGCUCAGAGCUGUCACCCCUUUGCCUCCCACAACGCCCUGCAGCCAUUCCCAGGCUGGAUCUUUCCCUGGAUUUCCCCCGGCUCUUUGGAGCGCUAGAAGACGGCAGUGCAGCCACCCUGAGUGUCCACAGCCCCUCCUCUCCUCUCCUCACACCUCCAGCACCUCCUCUCUACCUUUCUACCACAUGCAAGAACCCCUUGGUUGCCUCCAAGUCCUGCUUCCCGUUGGGAAGCGUUUCAUUUCCAAAAGGCAACAAAAAACACGGAAUCUACCUUCGCUCCCUGCUACCCCCUCUACUCACUGCUCCCCAAACCCUCCUACAACGUGCCUACAACCUUCCUACACCCUGGAGUAAAGCAGUUCUCUUUCAGUAGUGUCUCCUCCCAGCCCGUGGAUUGCUCGGGGGUGACGUGAGGGACAGCUGGGACGUCACCCCUCGGAGCACGAAGGAUCAAGUACUGGAAAGGAAAUGCCAAGUCUGAGCAACAAAAAUACAAAAAUAAAAAAAACCCAACCCAACUGAUCAAAGAAAACAAAAGAA